AUCCCGACUUCGGAAGGGAUGUAUUUAUUAGAUUAAAAACCAAUGCCCUCUGGGCUCAAUGGUGAUUCAUAAUAACUUCUCGAAUCGCACGGCCUUGCGCCGGCGAUGGUUCAUUCAAAUUUCUGCCCUAUCAACUUUCGACGGCUGGGUCUUGGCCAGCCAUGGUGACAACGGGUAACGGAGGGUUAGGGCUCGACCCCGGAGAAGGAGCCUGAGAAACGGCUACUACAUCCAAGGAAGGCAGCAGGCGCGCAAAUUACCCAAUCCCAAUUCGGGGAGGUAGUGACAAUAAAUACUGAUACAGGGCUCUUUUGGGUCUUGUAAUUGGAAUGAGUACAAUUUAAAUCCCUUAACGAGGAACAAUUGGAGGGCAAGUCUGGUGCCAGCAGCCGCGGUAAUUCCAGCUCCAAUAGCGUAUAUUAAAGUUGUUGCGGUUAAAAAGCUCGUAGUUGAAACUUGGGCCUAGCUGGCCGGUCCGCCUCACCGCGUGCACUGGUCCGGCCGGGCCUUUCCCUCUGGGGAACCGCAUGCCCUUCACUGGGCGUGUCGGGGAACCAGGACUUUUACUUUGAAAAAAUUAGAGUGUUCAAAGCAGGCCUAUGCUCGAAUACAUUAGCAUGGAAUAAUAGAAUAGGACGUCGCGGUUCUAUUUUGUUGGUUUCUAGGACCGCCGUAAUGAUUAAUAGGGACAGUCGGGGGCAUCAGUAUUCAAUUGUCAGAGGUGAAAUUCUUGGAUUUAUUGAAGACUAACUACUGCGAAAGCAUUUGCCAAGGAUGUUUUCAUUAAUCAGGAACGAAAGUUAGGGGAUCGAAGACGAUCAGAUACCGUCGUAGUCUUAACCAUAAACUAUGCGAACUAGGGAUCGGACGAUGUUAUUUUUUGACUCGUUCGGCACCUUACACGAAAGUACAAGUUUCUGCGUUCCGGGGGGAGUAUGGUCGCAAGGCUGAAACUUAAAGAAAUUGACGGAAGGGCACCACCAGGGGUGGAGCCUGCGGCUUAAUUUGACUCAACACGGGGAAACUCACCAGGUCCAGACACGAUGAGGAUUGACAGAUUGAGAGCUCUUUCUUGAUUUCGUGGGUGGUGGUGCAUGGCCGUUCUUAGUUGGUGGAGUGAUUUGUCUGCCUAAUCGCGAUAACGAACGAGACCUUAACCUGCUAAAUAGCCCGUAU
rnacentral:rRNA from 1 species